CGGGUCAGGUUUUUUUCUCAGCUACAUCGGUGUAAAUCCAGAGUAACUCCACUGAGAUUCACACCAGAGUAACUGAGAGCAGAAUCUGGCCAA
rnacentral:pre_miRNA from 1 species